GUGGGGAAUAUUGGACAAUGGGCGCAAGCCUGAUCCAGCCAUGCCGCGUGAGUGAUGAAGGCCUUAGGGUUGUAAAGCUCUUUUGUCCGGGAAGAUAAUGACUGUACCGGAAGAAUAAGCCCCGGCUAACUUCGUGCCAGCAGCCGCGGUAAUACGAAGGGGGCUAGCGUUGCUCGGAAUCACUGGGCGUAAAGGGCGCGUAGGCGGACUUUUAAGUCGGAGGUGAAAGCCCAGGGCUCAACCCUGGAAUAGCCUUCGAUACUGGGAGUCUUGAGUUCGGAAGAGGUUGGUGGAACUGCGAGUGUAGAGGUGAAAUUCGUAGAUAUUCGCAAGAACACCGGUGGCGAAGGCGGCCAACUGGUCCGAAACUGACGCUGAGGCGCGAAAGCGUGGGGAGCAAACAGGAUUAGAAACCCGGGUAGUCC
rnacentral:rRNA from 1 species